AACUGAUACUACCUGCGGGAACCUGCGGAGGGAUCAUUAUUGAACAAACCGGCGGGCUAAGUUGCUGGCCUCCUCGGAGGCAUGUGCACGGUCCGCCAUUGUUUCAUCCUUCUUCCACCUGUGCACUUCUGUGGGCCCACUCCAGCGCGCACACCGCGUGCUGGAAUCUGGUGCCUACGUUUUCACUAUCCACACCAUUGAAUGUUCAGAAUGUAUGUAUCAGGCAUUCGUGCCUAUAAA
rnacentral:misc_RNA from 1 species